rnacentral:rRNA from 1 species
UACGGGGGGGGUCAAGCGUUGUUCGGAAUUACUGGGCGUAAAGGGCGCGUAGGCGGGUGGACAAGUCUCUCGUGAACGCCCACGGCUCAACCGUGGAAUUGCGGGAGAUACUGUCUGUCUUGAGUCCGGGAGAGGAGGGUGGAAUUCCCAGUGUAGCGGUGAAAUGCGUAGAUAUUGGGAGGAACACCGGUGGCGAAGGCGGCUCUCUGGACCGGUACUGACGCUGAGGCGCGAAAGCUAGGGGAGCAAACGGG